GGUUCCAUGCUGUAAUGAUUAGCACUCUGGACUCUGAAUCCAGUGAUCAAAGUUAAAUCUCAGUGGAGCCU
rnacentral:tRNA from 1 species